GAGGGAUCCUGACUCAUUUUUUGUGCUUUUUGAGCGUGUUUCCGCGGCGAGGGGUUGGUCUGAUGAGGACUGUGCUCUGCUGCUCCAGUGCGUCCUCACGGGUAAGGCGCAGGGGGGCAUAUUCGUCUAUGAGCGCGGCUGAUAGCAGUAGUUACGUUAAAAUAAAAUCUGCAGUGCUGAAGGCUUAUGAGCUUGUGCCUGAAGCAUAUCGCCAACGUUUUCGGGCUUGGGAAAGGGAAAGUGGCCAAACCUAUGUUGAAUUUGUUCGGGAUUUAACUACCCAUUUUAAACGUUGGUUGGCUGCGCUUGAUAGCGUAACAAUAUGAUGUUGUUACGCUCUGUCCGGAUCGUACUGUCUCUGACUGGAGUUCCAGUGAGGUACCUGAGGUUCUUUCAGCCUGUGUGGUUACACGAGCAAUGAGUAAGGCUGAGCCUGGGUUAUCAGAUGGGGAGCUUGGUGACGAUGAUUUUGAGGAUCCGUCUUUGUCUGAUUUUCCACUGUCAGUGUCACAGAAGGAGUUGCUGCAGUUGCAGUUAAAACAGCAGUAAGAGUUGGUUGGUAUGGAGAUGAGUUGGUUGGUAUGGAGAUGAAGUUGGUUGGUAUGGAGAUGAGUUGGUUGGUAUGGAGAUGAGUUGGUUGGUAUGGAGAUGAGUUGGUUGGUAUGGAGAUGAGUUGGUCGGUAUGGAGAUGAGUUGGUCGGUAGGGUGAUGAGUUGGUCGGUAUGGAGAUGAGUUGGUCGGUAUGGAGAUAAGUUGGUCGGUAGGGUUAAGAGUUGGUCGGUAUGUAGGUGGAGUUCUGCGUGUUCUUUCUUAGAUUUAUCUUGUCUUUGAGUUAAUAUAUUUUUGGGGUGGAUAAUUUCAGGUCAACUGGUUUAGCAUGUGCCGGUGUUCCCUUUGGGACACCGACUUUAUGGGGGGGGGUGUGACGACCCCGCCUACUUGUUGACUACCUCUCUCCCUUAAGGUGAUCAGCUGAUGCCAUCAGCUGGAUCUGGAGCACCUGGGACCGGUGCUCCAGCCGAAUAAAAGAGCAGCUGAUUGCUUGCUGUGGGCGCUACUCAUUGGCUCCGUGCAGGCGUCCACACCUUUUGGGGUUUUCGUUGGCGGUUUUGUUAGGUUAUGUUUUG
ensembl:lncRNA